rnacentral:sRNA from 1 species
AUGGAAAUGAUAAAGUCAAGACAAAAGCUCAUAAAGUUAGCAGAUUCGUCAGACGCGGGAUGGCGAGUUGUCGACGAAUAUACCACAAAUCCUUUGGCAGAGAAUUCCGAAGAUGAAAAAAGAAUAUACAAGGCACAGAGUAGAGCCGAUUCAAAGAUAAAGAAGGAGAAGGCAAAACGCAAGACCGAUACUAGGCCAGCACCUUAUAAGACUAAAUCACUGGCUCCAGAGAAUCCGAUUCCAGUCAACACAAACAAGAUGUUUCGCCCUGGGAGAUGUUUCAAUUGUAGUGAAACUGGUCAUUGGAGGAGAGAGUGUCCUCAUGCUACAGUGCAGCAUACAAACAAGAUAAGUACUAAUAUGUUUUUAUGUAACGUUAGUAGUAGUUCGAGUACACCUUUGUAUACAAAACAAACGUUACGCAACACAACAUUCCUUAGCAAUACACAUACUACGAUUAAUAGUAAUCGUGUUCACUCAGGUAUAUCACCUGUAGGUAGUCUAUUAGAAAAUGUCAAUAACUGGACUAAGAUAGGCGCUAACGAACACGUUAUUAGUGUUAUACAGAAGGGGUAUGUGAUUCCUUUUUUAACAAUUCCAGAGAGUGUGGUAUUAGAAAAUAAUAAGUCGGCGUGCAACAAUAAGAUUUUUGUUGCGCAAGAAAUAGAAAAGUUGUUGAAAAAAGGGUGCAUAAGCAAAGUUAAUGAACAACCUCAUGUUAUAAACCCUCUAACAGUAGCUAAUAAUGGGUCAAAACUAAGAUUGGUAUUAGACGCCAGACAUAUAAAUCCACAUUUAUUUAAAUUUCGUCACAAAUACGAAGACGCGGUCACAGCUAGACAAAUGUUUAACAAAGAGGAUUACAUUUUUUCAUAUGAUUUGAAAAGUGCAUAUCAUCAUAUUAGAAUUGCACAUUCCGACACUACAUACCUUGGUUUCAAAUGGGGGAAUGCAUUGUACGUUUACAAUGUGUUACCAUUUGGCUUGGCAACAAGUGGUUAUAUUUUCAGUAAAGUAGUUCGAGAAGUCGUAAAACACUGGAGAAGUAAAGGGUUAAAAAUAGUUAUGUAUUUAGACGAUGGAUUAGGGGGAGGUUCUUCUUAUUCGGAGGCACUAACCGCUAGUGAUGCGAUUAGGAAUGAUUUAGACCAUUUUGGUUUCGAAAUAGCACAUGAAAAGUGUAAUUGGUCUCCAGUACAAAAACUGGAGUGGUUAGGUUUUAGUUGGUGUUUGGAACAGGGUGUACUGAAAAUCACUGAAAAAAGAUUGAACAAGUUAAAAAGAGCUUUGAGUGAUCUGUUACAGCAAUAUGAAAAGGGAAUGAAAUAUUUCAAAGUAAGGUCACUUGCUUGUAUUGUUGGACAGAUCAUUUCAACUCAGGCUGUUUCAGGGGAUCUUGCACGUUUAAGAUCUAGAUUUAUGUAUGAUUGCAUACUUACAAGAGAAUGCUGGAAUUCCAGCGUAGUGUUUAGUCUCGAAGCUGUAAAUGAAUGCAGGUUUUGGUUUAGAUAAUAUAGAAAAAAUAAACGAGAUAGGAUCUCAGUUAUGUCAGUUGACAUACAAUGAAGUACAAGACUUUCACGUCUUUUGUGACGCUUCAGAAACAGGUUUCGGGGGUCAUUUGACCACAGGUUCAGAGGACGAACCGAUAGAGAUAUACGGAAGUUGGUCUUCCACUGAAAGAGUAAAAAGCUCUACAUGGAGAGAACUUGAAUCAGUAAAAAGGGUUUUAAGAAAUCUUGUGAUCAAGUUGCACGGUGCGACUAUUAGAGUUUACACAGACAAUAAAAAUGUACCACACAUUAUGAAAGUCGGUAGUAAGAAAAAAGAAUUACACAGAAGCGUUAUGUCUGUUCAUAAAAUUUGUCAAGAUAACAAGAUCAAACUAAAUUUAGUAUGGAUACCACGCGAGCAUAACGAUAAAAGCAGACAGUCUUAGUAGGAAAUCAGAUUGUGAUGAUUGGGAAAUCGACGAUUGGAUUUUUACGUAUCUGAAUAAGUUAUGGGGUCCAUAUACUUUUGACCGCUUUGCACAAGAUUACAAUGCAAAAUGCAACAAAUUCAAUUCGAAAUUCUGGUGCACAGGAACAUCAGGCAUUAAUGCUUUUUCUGUGUCAUGGGAUGGCGAGAAUAAUUGGUUAGUUCCACCACCUCGUUUGGUCCCACAUACAAUUAACAAAAUGAUACAGGAUAAAGGUAGUCAUACUUUGAUUGUUCCUGAGUGGACAUCUGCCGCUUAUUGGCCAAUGUUAGUAGACCAAGAAGGUCGGUUUAAAUCUUUCAUAAGAGAUUACAGGUUUUUUCAAGGUGAGAGUCUCACAAAACGAGGAAGGGGUCAAAACGGUAUAUUUGGCUCGCAGUUCUUAAAAUUCAGAUUAGUUGCUAUAAAUGUUAAAUGAAAAACAUAGAUAUUUAUAAUUUUUAUUUUAUUAACAGGCAUCAGUUUAGAUCGUCAUGUAAAAGUCGCAAUAGAGGAUAGUGGAGUAGAAACAGGAAGCCAUUUGUAUAGUUUAUAUCCGAAGAUGUGUGAGUUAUUAUUGAACAGUAAAAGUGACAAUACAGUAAAGUCUUAUUUCUACGCUUUUAGAAGGUGGGAAAAAUUUAUUACAGAACAUGGACAAGAUGCUUUACCUGCACAACCGGUACACGUUGCUUUAUAUUUGACAAAUUUAUUGAACAAUGGAUCUACUAGUCAUCCCGUUUCUUAUGCUUUAUACGGUAUAAAAUGGGCCCAUGAAGUGAGUGGGUUACCAGAUCCUGCUAUAAACUCUUUCGUUACUUCCAUAGUUGAAGCUUCCAAAAGAACCACAACAAAAACCGCCAACAAAAAAGAUCCGGUUUCAGCAGAGAUACUAAUUGAACUAUGUACGCACUUUAAAGAUUCAGAUGAUUUACUCAUUAUUAGAGAUUUGACAAUGAUAUUACUAAGUUUUUCUGGUUUUCUAAGAUAUGAUGAAAUAAGUUCGUUAAGAUUUAAAGAUGUAGUUAUACAUGACAAUUAUUUGAUUUUGUAUAUUAACAAAAGUAAAUCGAUCAGUAUCGUCAAGGAAACGAAAUUCUCAUUUCGAAAGGUUUAUCCAUAG